GGCGGGGUAGCUCAGUUGGUUAGAGCGUGGGACUCAUAAGCCCGAGGCCGGCGGUUCAAAUCCGCCCCCCGCUACCA
rnacentral:tRNA from 1 species